AUUAAUUUUCGAUCAUUUUUUCAUCGGUUGUGAUCUUCAUUAAUACAAAAUCUACUGCGUAGUAUUUGUCACAGCAUUCAACUAGCUGUCUCCGCAAAGAUGGACCAUAUUUUCACCAAAUGCCAACCUGUUGGAGUAGUCGAAUCAAUUAUACCCUGGAACUAUCCAACUGUUAUAGCUUACGAAAAUUGGCACCAGCACUUGCUACUGGAUGUACUGUUGUAUUAAAAUCAGCUGAACAAACUCCUCUUACUGCUCUGUAUUUAGUUGCACUAUCAAAAGAGCUACCUAAAAUAUAAAUUAUAUACUAUACACGGGAUAGUAUAAGAAAAUACGGUUUUCGCUCACCUUUGCGGAGACUGCCGUUGGAUGCUGCGACAAAUACAACGCAGUGGAAUUUGUAUAAAUGAAGAUCACUACCGAUGAAAAAAUGACCGAAAUUAAUUAUAAAUAACGGUGAUUAAAAUCGAACAAACGGAAUUAAACACACGGAUGUCGAAUGAAUUUAUUCUAUGAUUACUCAAAAACCACAAGAAAAAAUAUUGAAUGUGUUUGUCUAUUUUACACAUAUAAUACAGAGUUAUUAGAUCAAUUGCCCUCAUGUAGAUGCGUUCAUUGUACGUCAUUCAGAAUUUGGUUGAAAUGCAGCCCUUCAUUGUCGACAACAGUAAUUACCGAAUCACGGUGUAAUGGUGUUCUAGAACACCGAAUAUACCGGAUACCAGUAUUUCUUAUACCAGUUUUUACCGGUGUAUUGAAAAUACUGUCAACCCUAGUUUUAAGGUUUGAAAUAAUUCAUGUUUUAAAAUAUUAAGCGAAAUAUUAAUUUAUUUAGUUAUAAAGUGUAUAUUAUUAAACCGUAAAUAAAGUUUUUUAUUAAAUGAAAAUAUCUCUUUAAGUCUAAAAAUGUUCUUCCUGCCACGUUUCAAUAUAAGAACAA